GUGCCAGCAGCCGCGGUAAGACGGAGGAGGCAAGCGUUAUCCGGAAUUAUUGGGCGUAAAGGGUCCGCAGGUGGCAGUUCAAGUCUGCAGUCAAAGGUCGGGGCUCAACCCCGGAAAGGCUGUGGAAACUGAACAGCUAGAGUACGGUAGGGGCAGAGGGAAUUCCCAGUGUAGCGGUGAAAUGCGUAGAGAUUGGGAAGAACACCGGUGGCGAAAGCGCUCUGCUAGGCCGAAACUGACACUGAGGGACGAAAGCUAGGGGAGCGAAAGGGAUUAGAUACCCCUGUAGUCCUAGCUGUAAACGAUGGAGACUAGGUGUGGCCUGUAUCGACCCGGGCCGUGCCGGAGCUAACGCGUUAAGUCUCCCGCCUGGGGAGUACGGCCGCAAGGUUAAAACUUAAAGGAAUUGACGGGG
rnacentral:rRNA from 1 species